ensembl:miRNA
CCUGGAACUCACUCUGUAGACCAGGCUGGCCUCACAUUCACAGAGAUCUGCCUGCCUCUGCCUUCUUAGUUCUGGGAU